rnacentral:misc_RNA from 1 species
GCAGAGGCUGCUAAAUAUGAAGCCCUUUCACGUCUUGAAAAGUUAUCCUUGGAUCACAUUGAGGAGAAAAAGAAACAAUAUUCUGGAUUUAUCUCGUUAAAAUCUGCUGCUGAUCAACUCUGGGAGAGCUUUUCUCAUAUCAAUAAUUUGCUAGCUGGUUUUUUCUCUCAGGACUUGGAAUUUCUGCAAAAUCUGGAGUCUGGUAUGAAGUCAUGCCUUAAUAGAGCAGAGUCUGAUCUUGUGGUUCGAGUUCCUCUUUUCAGUGCAUAUGAUGGCAUUAAUUCCAGCAUUUUGGGAAACAAGGGGAACUUCAUGGCUGUAGAUUUUUCAUCAGAAACCAAUAUGCUGGAGCAUUUGGAGGAUGAUUUUAUUUCUGAAGUUUGUAGUUCUUUGCAAGAAUUCAUUAAAGAAAUUGCUGCUGUUAAUAAAAUGUUACAUGAACACACUGCUACAUUUCACAAACAAGCUAGCAGUCUAUCCAAAUUAAUGGGUUCUAUUCAUAGAGAUAUGAGUUCCCAAAAAGAGUCAUUUGAGGCCAUGAAGCAAGACGUUAAGCUUAUAGAAUCAAAUGGAAAAGAAAAGGACAUGCAGAUUGUUACAUUGCGCCGGAACAUUGCCUUGCUUCAUGAAGCCUGCACCAGAUCACUCAUGGAAAUUGAAAAUAGAAAAGCUGAAGUUGUCGCAAAGAGUUUGGCUGCCCGAAAUCUGGGCAUAAAUUUGAAACCAACAACUUAUGGUGAUGGUGGACUUCCCUUUGGUGGAGAGAGUUAUUUUUCAUCCGAGGAACAUGUCAAGACUACGGCAGAAAAAUUGUUAUUGGCCGUGAAAGAUCUUGCUUGCUUAAAAGGUGAGAUUAUAGAGGGUAACGAGAAGGAAAUGAAAAUUACCAUAUCAAAUUUGCAGAAGGAGCUUCAGGAGAAGGAUAUUCAAAGAGAGAGAAUUUGCAAGGAUCUUGUCAGUCAUAUUAAGCAAGUCGAAGCUGCUGCAACAAACUACUCCCUUGACCUUCAAUCUUCAAAAUCUCAUGUGCAUGAUUUGGAGAAAAAGGUGGAAACAAUUGAAUAUGAGCGGAAUUUAUUGGAGCAGAGAGUGAUGGAACUUCAAGAUCAGCAAACCAUCUCAACAGAGUUACAGGAGAAUGUCAGAUCUCUGACUGAUAGGCUCAAUGCCAAAGACCAAGAAAUUGAAGCCCUAAUGCAAGCUCUUGAUGAGGAGGAAAUGCAGAUGGAUGAUUUAACAAAAAAAGUAGAGGAGUUGGGAAAAGUUGUCCAACAAAAGAAUUUGGAUAUUGAAAAACUUGAAGCCUCCCGUGGAAAGGUUGUGAAAAAGCUUUACACCACUGUCAGCAGGUUUGACGAGCUUCAUCUUUUUUCUGAAAGUCUCCUUGCUGAGGUUGAACAGCUUCAAUCUCAAUUGCAAGAUCGUGAUGCUGAGAUCUCUUUCUUAAGGCAAGAGGUAACUAGAUGCACAAAUGAUGCUCUUGUUGCGUCUCAGACAAGCAACAAGAGAAAUUCAGAUGAGCUCUAUGAGUUAUUGACAUGGUUAGUCGCGGUGGUUUCUUUAGAUGUCAAUCUUACAGAUAGCAGUCAGGUUCACGAGUACAAAGAAAUAAUUCAGAAAAAGAUUACAUCUAUUUUGUCUGAAUUGGAGGAUCUGCGGGAAACAGCUCAAAGCAGGGAUGCAUUAUUGCAAAUUGAGAGAAGUAAAGUAGAUGAUUUAACACGCAGAGAAGAAAUUCUUGAGAAAUCUUUGCAUGAGAAGGAAUCCCAAUUAAAUAUGCUUGAAGUUGGCAGAGAUAUGGAGCAACCAACCAGUGCAAGCUCUGAAAUUUUGGAAGUUGAACCUGUGAUAAAUAAAUGGACAGUGCCUGGGCCCUCCACUGCUUCUCAAGUACGCAGUUUGCGCAAAGUCAACAAUGAUCAAGUUGCUAUUGCUAUAGACAUGGCUCCUGGUAGCACUAGUACACUAGAGGAUGAAGAUGAUGAAAA